ACGAACGCUGGCGGCAGGCUUAACACAUGCAAGUCGAGCGCGUAGCAAUACGAGCGGCAGACGGGUGAGUAACGCGUGGGGAUGUGCCUGGUGGUACGGAACAACUCAGGGAAACUUGAGCUAAUACCGUAUAAGCCCUUUUGGGGAAAGAUUUAUCGCCACCAGAUCAACCCGCGUUGGAUUAGCUAGUUGGUGAGGUAACGGCUCACCAAGGCGACGAUCCAUAGCUGGUCUGAGAGGAUGAUCAGCCACACUGGGACUGAGACACGGCCCAGACUCCUACGGGAGGCAGCAGUGGGGAAUAUUGGACAAUGGGCGCAAGCCUGAUCCAGCCAUGCCGCGUGAGUGAUGAAGGCCUUAGGGUUGUAAAGCUCUUUCACUGGGGAAGAUAAUGACGGUACCCAGAGAAGAAGCCCCGGCUAACUUCGU
rnacentral:rRNA from 1 species